rnacentral:SRP_RNA from 17 species
AGGCUGGCUUCGAAUCAGCGAGGACUUCCCACUACCAGCGGGGCCGUGAAGAAUAACGGUCGACUGGACGC